GACGAACCGAGCGAACGUUGUUCGGAAUCACUGGGCUUAAAGGGCGCGUAGACGGGCGAUCAAGUCGGUGGUGAAAUCCUACAGCUUAACUGUAGAACUGCCUCCGAUACUGGUUGUCUCGAGGAAGGUAGGGGCGUGCGGAACAGUUGGUGGAGCGGUGAAAUGCGUUGAUAUCAACUGGAACUCCGGUGGCGAAGGCGGCACGCUGGACCUUUUCUGACGCUGAGGCGCGAAGGCCAGGGGAGCGAACGGG
rnacentral:rRNA from 1 species